CGCCCGCCGCGCGCGGCGGGCCUACGGGAGGCAGCAGUGGGGAAUAUUGCACAAUGGGCGCAAGCCUGAUGCAGCCAUGCCGCGUGUAUGAAGAAGGCCUUCGGGUUGUAAAGUACUCUUCAGCGAGGAGGAAGGCGUUGUGGUUAAUAACCGCAGCGAUUGACGUUACUCGCAGAAGAAGCACCGGCUAACUCCGUGCCAGCAGCCGCGGUAAUA
rnacentral:rRNA from 1 species